GCCUUCGUGGUGUAGUGGUCAGCAUGCUUAACCCGUAUUCGAAAGGUCCGUGGUUCGAGUCCCGGCGAUGGCA
rnacentral:tRNA from 1 species